rnacentral:rRNA from 1 species
UUUUAUGAGAGUUUGAUCCUGGCUCAGGACGAACGCUGGCGGCGUGCCUAAUACAUGCAAGUCGAACGCUUCUUUUUCCACCGGAGCUUGCUCCACCGGAAAAAGAAGAGUGGCGAACGGGUGAGUAACACGUGGGUAACCUGCCCAUCAGAAGGGGAUAACACUUGGAAACAGGUGCUAAUACCGUAUAACAAUCGAAACCGCAUGGUUUUGAUUUGAAAGGCGCUUUCGGGUGUCGCUGAUGGAUGGACCCGCGGUGCAUUAGCUAGUUGGUGAGGUAACGGCUCACCAAGGCGACGAUGCAUAGCCGACCUGAGAGGGUGAUCGGCCACAUUGGGACUGAGACACGGCCCAAACUCCUACGGGAGGCAGCAGUAGGGAAUCUUCGGCAAUGGACGAAAGUCUGACCGAGCAACGCCGCGUGAGUGAAGAAGGUUUUCGGAUCGUAAAACUCUGUUGUUAGAGAAGAACAAGGAUGAGAGUAACUGUUCAUCCCUUGACGGUAUCUAACCAGAAAGCCACGGCUAACUACGUGCCAGCAGCCGCGGUAAUACGUAGGUGGCAAGCGUUGUCCGGAUUUAUUGGGCGUAAAGCGAGCGCAGGCGGUUUCUUAAGUCUGAUGUGAAAGCCCCCGGCUCAACCGGGGAGGGUCAUUGGAAACUGGGAGACUUGAGUGCAGAAGAGGAGAGUGGAAUUCCAUGUGUAGCGGUGAAAUGCGUAGAUAUAUGGAGGAACACCAGUGGCGAAGGCGGCUCUCUGGUCUGUAACUGACGCUGAGGCUCGAAAGCGUGGGGAGCAAACAGGAUUAGAUACCCUGGUAGUCCACGCCGUAAACGAUGAGUGCUAAGUGUUGGAGGGUUUCCGCCCUUCAGUGCUGCAGCUAACGCAUUAAGCACUCCGCCUGGGGAGUACGACCGCAAGGUUGAAACUCAAAGGAAUUGACGGGGGCCCGCACAAGCGGUGGAGCAUGUGGUUUAAUUCGAAGCAACGCGAAGAACCUUACCAGGUCUUGACAUCCUUUGACCACUCUAGAGAUAGAGCUUCCCCUUCGGGGGCAAAGUGACAGGUGGUGCAUGGUUGUCGUCAGCUCGUGUCGUGAGAUGUUGGGUUAAGUCCCGCAACGAGCGCAACCCUUAUUGUUAGUUGCCAUCAUUUAGUUGGGCACUCUAGCAAGACUGCCGGUGACAAACCGGAGGAAGGUGGGGAUGACGUCAAAUCAUCAUGCCCCUUAUGACCUGGGCUACACACGUGCUACAAUGGGAAGUACAACGAGUCGCAAAGUCGCGAGGCUAAGCUAAUCUCUUAAAGCUUCUCUCAGUUCGGAUUGUAGGCUGCAACUCGCCUACAUGAAGCCGGAAUCGCUAGUAAUCGCGGAUCAGCACGCCGCGGUGAAUACGUUCCCGGGCCUUGUACACACCGCCCGUCACACCACGAGAGUUUGUAACACCCGAAGUCGGUGAGGUAACCUUUUGGAGCCAGCCGCCUAAGGUGGGAUAGAUGAUUGGGGUGAAGUCGUAACAAGGUAGCCGUAUCGGAAGGUGCGGCUGGAUCACCUCCUUUCUAAGGAA